UACGAACUGUGCGAACGUUAUUCGGAAUCACUGGGCUUACAGGGUGCGUAGGCGGCUAUUCAGGUCAGGUGCGAAAGCCCCCGGCUCAACCGGGGAACUGCGCUUGAAACCGAGUGGCUCGAGUCAGCUAGAGGUACACGGAACUUCCAGUGGAGCGGUGAAAUGUGUUGAUAUUGGAAGGAACACCGGAGGCGAAAGCGGUGUACUGGGGCUGGUCUGACGCUGAGGCACGAAAGCCAGGGGAGCGAACGGG
rnacentral:rRNA from 1 species